UACAGAGGGUGCAAGCGUUGUUCGGAAUUACUGGGCGUAAAGGGCGCGUAGGCGGUUUAGUAAGUCAGAUGUGAAAGCCCGGGGCUUAACUCCGGAAUUGCAUUUGAAACUGCUAGGCUAGAGUGCAGUAGAGGAUGGCGGAAUACCCAGUGGAGAGGUGAAAUUCGUAGAUAUUGGGUGGAACACCGGUGGCGAAGGCGGCCAUCUGGGCUGUAACUGACGCUGAGGCGCGAGAGCGUGGGGAGCAAACAGG
rnacentral:rRNA from 1 species